rnacentral:rRNA from 1 species
UACGUAGGGUGCAAGCGUUGUCCGGAAUUAUUGGGCGUAAAGAGCUCGUAGGCGGUCUUUCACGUCGGCUGUGAAAUCCCGAGGCUCAACCUCGGGUCUGCAGUCGAUACGGGCAAACUAGAGUGUUGCAGGGGAGACUGGAAUUCCUGGUGUAGCGGUGAAAUGCGCAGAUAUCAGGAGGAACACCGGUGGCGAAGGCGGGUCUCUGGGCAACAACUGACGCUGAGGAGCGAAAGCGUGGGGAGCGAACAGG